AUGGAACGCUGGCGGCAGGCCUAACACAUGCAAGUCGAGCGGUAACACAGGGAGCUUGCUCCUGGGUGACGAGCGGCGGACGGGUGAGUAAUGUCUGGGAAACUGCCUGAUGGAGGGGGAUAACUACUGGAAACGGUAGCUAAUACCGCAUAACGUCGCAAGACCAAAGUGGGGGACCUUCGGGCCUCACACCAUCGGAUGUGCCCAGAUGGGAUUAGCUAGUAGGUGGGGUAAUGGCUCACCUAGGCGACGAUCCCUAGCUGGUCUGAGAGGAUGACCAGCCACACUGAACUGAGACACGGUCCAGACUCCUACGGGAGGCAGCAGUGGGGAAUAUUGCACAAUGGGCGCAAGCCUGAUGCAGCCAUGCCGCGUGUAUGAAGAAGGCCUUCGGGUUGUAAAGUACUUUCAGCGAGGAGGAAGGCAUUGUGGUUAAUAACCGCAGUGAUUGACGUUACUCGCA
rnacentral:rRNA from 1 species